rnacentral:tRNA from 1 species
UUAAGGGAGACCGAACCUGCCUUAUUGAUUCAAUUGUUAUGAUAAAUAACAGUUGAGGUAAUAUCGAUGAGAUGGUCAACCAAAGGUCGAAUCGCUGGUCUUUUAGAUAUCUAGCUUUCAAACUAUAAAUUUGGUUCGGAAUUGGGCUAUUAGCUCAGGUGGUUAGAGCGCACCCCUGAUAAGGGUGAGGUCCCUGGUUCGAGUCCAGGAUGGCCCACCUGUAAAGAGUUAGGAGUUAAGAGUUAAGAGUGAGGAAUAAAAACCCUAGCUUCAAACUUGUAAACUAUAUAACUUUUUGUCGUGGGGGUUUAGCUCAGUUGGUAGAGCGCCUGCUUUGCAAGCAGGAUGUCAGCGGUUCGAGUCCGCUAACCUCCACUGAAAGAAAAAGAAAUUGGAAUGAUUUAGCACCUAAACUAGGGACAAAUAGUUUAUAGUUUAGAAUGCUGAAAUGAUUUUCAGCCAGAACCAUGAAAACUGCAUAGUGACGUAAUGUAAUGUAGGUAGUAAUUUUAGACUACCUGAACUUGAAAGAGGAUUGGUAACAAUUUUCUAAUUGUGAAGGAAGAACAAAAUUGAUGACGUACAUUCACAGACAAAAAAUUGAUUUGAAGAAUU